rnacentral:rRNA from 1 species
AGCGAACGCUGGCGGCAGGCUUAACACAUGCAAGUCGAGCGCCCCGCAAGGGGAGCGGCAGACGGGUGAGUAACACGUGGGAACGUGCCUUUUGGUUCGGAACAACCCAGGGAAACUUGGGCUAAUACCGGAUAAGCCCUUACGGGGAAAGAUUUAUCGCCAAAAGAUCGGCCCGCGUCUGAUUAGCUAGUUGGUGGGGUAAUGGCCCACCAAGGCUACGAUCAGUAGCUGGUCUGAGAGGAUGAUCAGCCACAUUGGGACUGAGACACGGCCCAAACUCCUACGGGAGGCAGCAGUGGGGAAGAUUGGACAAUGGGGGCAACCCUGAUCCAGCCAUGCCGCGUGAGUGAUGAAGGCCUUAGGGUUGUAAAGCUCUCUUAGCAGGGAAGAUAAUGACGGUACCUGCAGAAAAAGCCCCGGCUAACUUCGUGCCAGCCGCCGCCGUAA